CCCAUGUGCCGCCGUGGAGGCAGCGGGCACGACUACCGGUUUCUUAUUCUGAGGACCUAAGAAAGAGGAGAGCGUGGCUUUGGAAGAUGGAGGGGCGGGAACUCCCCAGGCAGCACAGCAACAAGGAGGCCUGGCCGCGCGGGAGAACGGACUGGGAGAGCGGGCCUCGGCCUCGGAGGCGGCGGACUCGGGUCGCCACGACAGCCCGCGCGGAGCCCGCUCGCCUCCCGCCGCCCGAGACGCCUCCCCAGCCUCUCGUACGACUCGUCGCGGAAAAUGCUCGCACGCUCUCGUCGCUCCAUCUAACCUCAGAGGGAACCACGUCAGAAUCCUUUGUCCCCGAAAGGCGCCGUGCUGCCCAUUGGCUGUGUUGCCCCCGCCCCCAAAGCCCGCUCCUGCGCGUGCACAGCGCUCGGGCUCCCGAGGCGACGGCGAGCGGAAGUGCUCUGCUGACCCCGAGGGCGGUGCGAGUUGACGCUUGCGGUUGUUACCUGCCCUGAGACCUCGGGUUCCAGGCGGUGGAUAAAUGAUAUUGUGAAAAAUGAAAAAAGUGCAAGUAAAUAAAAGAGGAAAGGUGGAAUCACCGCUGGAAGGCAUAGAAUUCCUGAGAGAAAGGAGAUG